CUACGGGUUGCAGCAGGCGCGAAACCUUUACAAUGCGGGAAACCGUGAUAAGGGAAUCCAAAGUGCUCAAGUUUACUUGGGCUUUUGCCAAGAGCAAAAAUCUUGGCGAAUAAGUGGUGGGUAAGACUGGUGCCAGCCGCCGCGGUAACACCAGUGCCACGAGUGGGAAUCAUGUUUAUUUGGCCUAAAGCGUCCGUAGCCGGUCCUGUAAAUCUUUUGUGAAAUCUUCAGGCUUAACCUGUUGGCGUGCAGAAGACACUGCAGGACUAGGAACCGGGAGGAGUCAGAGGUAUGGGAUGGGGAGCGGUAAAAUGCGAUAAUCCAUCUUAGACCACCUGUGGCGAAGGCGUCUGACUAGAACGGAUUCGACGGUGAGGGACGAAAGCCAGGGGAGCGAUCCGGAUUAGAUACCCUAGUAGUC
rnacentral:rRNA from 1 species